GUACUAUAGGAGGACUAAUCUGGUAGAACAUGGUACUAUAGGAGGACUAAUCUGGUAGAACAUGGUCUAUAGGAGGACUAAUCUGGUAGAACAUGGUACUAGGAGGACUAAUCUGAGUAGAACAUGGUACUAUAGGAGGACUAAUCUGGUAGAACAUGGUACUAUAGGAGGACUAAUCUGGUAGAACAUGGUACUAUAGGAGGACUAAUCUGGUAGAACAUGGGGUCUAUAGGAGGACUAAUCUGGCAGAACAUGGAACUAUAGGAGGACUAAUCUGGUAGAACAUGGGGUCUAUAGGAGGACUAAUCUGGUAGAAUAUGGUACUAUAGGAGGACUAAUCUGGUAGAACAUGGUACUAUAGGAGGACUAAUCUGGUAGACCAUGGUACUCUAGGAGGACUAAUCUGGUAGAACAUGGAACUAUAGGAGGACUAAUCUGGUAGAACAUGGUACUAUAGGAGGACUAAUCUGGUAGAACAUGGUACUAUAGGAGGACUAAUCUGGUAGAACAUGGUACUAUAGGAGGACUAAUCUGGUAGAACAUGGUACUAUAGGAGGACUAAUCUGGUAGAACAUGGUACUAUAGGAGGACUAAUCUGGUAGAACAUGGGACUAUAGGAGGACUAAUCUGGUAGAACAUGGUACUAUAGGAGGACUAAUCUGGUAGAACAUGGUACUAUAGGAGGACUAAUCUGGUAGAACAUGGGGUCUAUAGGAGGACUAAUCUGGUAGAACAUGGUACUAUAGGAGGACUAAUCUGGUAGAACAUGGUACUAUAGGAGGACUAAUCUGGUAGAACAUGGUACUAUAGGAGGACUAAUCUGGUAGAACAUGGGGUCUAUAGGAGGACUAAUCUGGUAGAACAUGGUACUAUAGGAGGACUAAUCUGGUAGAACAUGGUACUAUAGGAGGACUAAUCUGGUAGAACAUGGUACUAUAGGAGGACUAAUCUGGUAGAACAUGGUACUAUUGGAGGACUAAUCUGGUAGAACAUGGUACUAUAGGAGGACUAAUCUGGUAGAACAUGGUACUAUAGGAGGACUAAUCUGGUAGACCAUGGUAGUAUAGGAGGACUAAUCUGGUAGAACAUGGGGUCUAUAGGAGGACUAAUCUGGCAGAACAUGGUACUAUAGGAGGACUAAUCUGGUAGAACAUGAGGUCUAUAGGAGGACUAAUCUGGUAGAACAUGAGGUCUAUAGGAGGACUAAUCUGGUAGAACAUGGGGUCUGGUAAGG
rnacentral:lncRNA from 1 species